GAAAGCCACGGCUAACUACGUGCCAGCAGCCGCGGUAAUACGUAGGUGGCAAGCGUUAUCCGGAAUUAUUGGGCGUAAAGCGCGCGUAGGCGGUUUUUUAAGUCUGAUGUGAAAGCCCACGGCUCAACCGUGGAGGGUCAUUGGAAACUGGAAAACUUGAGUGCAGAAGAGGAAAGUGGAAUUCCAUGUGUAGCGGUGAAAUGCGCAGAGAUAUGGAGGAACACCAGUGGCGAAGGCGACUUUCUGGUCUGUAACUGACGCUGAUGUGCGAAAGCGUGGGGAUCAAACAGGAUUAGAUACCCUGGUAGUCCACGCCGUAAACGAUGAGUGCUAAGUGUUAGGGGGUUUCCGCCCCUUAGUGCUGCAGCUAACGCAUUAAG
rnacentral:rRNA from 1 species